ensembl:lncRNA
CGCAGGUUUUAUGUCGAGCGGUGAAAUUGUGAGAUAGCUCCACGUGUUUUGACUCGUGUAAUAUAAUUAAGAGAUCGUUAUCGUGUUGAAGAGUUUAAAACUGAGGAUGGGUGAUAAAUCGGGUCAGGGAUGCUCAUCUGUCUUCACUGUCUCAGACACUGCUGCUGUGGAAUGAACGAUUGAAUUUGUUGAAUUUUAUCAAAUGUGAUGUCUUUUAAUGGGCUCAGAGUUUUCUGGAGUCACAUGCAUUAAACUAGGCAAAGUUCUGCACAGAAACAAAAUGGAGGGUUGAAGGGAUUUUUGAGCAAGACGGUUCGACAUUUCAAACUCCACGCUCCUCCUGCUACAGUAUACGCUCUCCCUGUCUCCCUCAUCGCCAUGGCGCUCCUCUGCUGCGUCACGUGUGCUAUCGACCGGCCAGUUCCGUUAGAAGGAGGUUUCUAGGAAGCCAAUAAAUUUGACAACAAACAGCAAACAUCGUCAUGUGUCACGCUGUUCAUUCAUAAAUGUGUAAAAGAUCUACUUAAAAAUAGCAAAAAAUAAUCCUGCUUCAUUAAAAAUGCUAACGAAACACUGGCAGUCUCUCUCUCUCUCAAUCUCGAUGGACGGACAGAUGGAUGGAUAGAUAGAUAAAUGGAUAUAUGGAUGGAUGAAAAAAA